GACAGAGGGUGCAAACGUUGCUCGGAAUCACUGGGCGUAAAGGGCGUGUAGGCGGGACAGUAAGUCGGGCGUGAAAUCCCUGGGCUCAACCCAGGAACUGCACUCGAAACUACUAUUCUUGAGUGUCGGAGAGGAAAGCGGAAUUCCUGGUGUAGAGGUGAAAUUCGUAGAUAUCAGGAGGAACACCAGUGGCGAAGGCGGCUUUCUGGACGAUAACUGAC
rnacentral:rRNA from 1 species